rnacentral:rRNA from 1 species
CCUACGGGUGGCUGCAGUGGGGAAUAUUGCACAAUGGGGGAAACGCUGAUGCAGCGACGCCGCGUGAGUGAAGAAGUUUUUCGGUAUGUAAAGCUCUAUCAGCAGGGAAGAAGAAAGACGGUACCUGACUAAGAAGCGCCGGCUAACUACGGGCCAGCAGCCGCGGUAAUACGCAGGGGGCAAGCGUUAUCCGGAAUUACUGGGGGUAAAGGGAGCGUAGGGGGCUGUGCAAGGCUGAGGUGAAAGCCCAGGGCUCAACCCUGGGACUGCUUGGGAAACGGUGGAGCUAGAGUGCUGGAGAGGGAAGUGGAAUUCCUAGUGUAGCGGUGAAAUGCGUAGAUAUGAGGAGGAACACCAGUGGCGAAGGCGGCUUACUGGACAGUAACUGACGUUGAGGCUCGAAAGCGUGGGGAGCAAACAGGAUUAGAUACCCCAGUAGUC